CUAGUGAGGCUCCUCAAAUCUAAGCAAGAGACCAAGUCCUUUCUCAGCCUGGAACUUGAAACACUUGAAGGGAAAGACGAGGUCUCACUAUGUUGCUCAGGCUGAUCUGGAACUCCUGGUCUCAAGCCAUCCUCCUACCUUGGCCUCCCAAAGCACUAGGUUGACAGGUAUGAGCCACUGCACCCAGCCUCUAAGCUGUCUCCGUUACCUUGACUCGUCUCAGAUUUCGUCGACCAAGACAGAUCCUGGCACUGGGAAUGUAAGGCUGUCUGCAUUAUUUUGACUUGCUCCAGGUUAGGGACAAGCUUAUGCAAGGCUCCUACUGAUCAUAUGUUUCAUUUCUAGCUUUGAUGUCUGGACACCGA